AUUGAGAGUGUAGUUGACAAACAGCCACUCAGCCAGCCAAGCAGAGAGAAGAAGACAAGUGGACAGUCACAAAACUACAUAGACAAGGCAACAAAAUGGCUGCCACUGUGUAAGUAGUGAAAGGCAAGAUGAUGCAGAAAAUGGAAUAGUUGAGCCAAUAAUCCAAAGUCACAUACAUGUGAAGUCCCUGAGAAACCUUUCAGAAAUCAGUCAGUGUGUAAGCUGCAACAGCAGGUAAUAAGAGAUUUUUCAUACCUUAAUAUAUUGAAAUAUAAUAAUUUAAUCAAUGUCUAAUUCAUAUUUUCUUUAGUUGAUAUUUUAGAGGAACAUGCAAAGUGAAACAAACUUUCAGAAGAGCAUUUUAUUAAACACUUUAAGGAAAUUCUACGGAGAUAAAAGCACAUGCAGAACAGAGAGGACUGAGUUAGCAAUCAGAUGUCACAGAAAGGCAAAAAGUACAAGUAUCCUGAAUCUAUUUCAAAAUUGACUGGAAGUUUAUGGCACAUGGUUCUACCUGCCUGCAAUACGCAGGAUUUUAGCACUGACUAUAUGAAAACAUUUCACUAGCUAAAGAAUUGUUCCUUUAAAAAGAGAACUCACAUCCACAACAGUAAACACACAAAAAUGAUUUCCUCACAGUAUUUUUUGCUAAUCUGAGGUUAAUGUUUACCACUCCCUCAAAUGACUCAACAUACAUUGAAGGUAAAUGUUGCCUUUCCAGUGUCAAGCCAUUUGGCCCUUUCUCACGAUCAGGGACUUGUCUUGUUCCACAGAAUUCCAGACUACCACCAAGGACUACCAAAGCCGACUUCAUGUGAGGUUAGUUGUAGAUGUCUUGCCUGUGGUCAAUUUAAAUGCUGAGAUGUAUUCUAUUACUACUUACGUAUACACAUGAUAUAAGGCCUAUAGAAAGGCCCCCCCAGUAGUCACACAUCCCAAUUUUCAUGACACAGAAUUCAAAUGUUUU